rnacentral:rRNA from 1 species
GACGAACGCUGGCGGCGUGCUUAACACAUGCAAGUCGAACGGAAAGGCCCUGCUUGCAGGGUACUCGAGUGGCGAACGGGUGAGUAACACGUGGGUGAUCUGCCCUGCACUUCGGGAUAAGCCUGGGAAACUGGGUCUAAUACCGGAUAGGAGCCAUUUUUAGUGUGAUGGUUGGAAAGUUUUUUCGGUGUAGGAUGAGCUCGCGGCCUAUCAGCUUGUUGGUGGGGUAAUGGCCUACCAAGGCGGCGACGGGUAGCCGGCCGGGGGGGGUGGACGGCCACAUUGGGCCUGAGAUACGGCCCAGACUCCUACGGGAGGCAGCAGUGGGGAAUAUUGAACAAGGGGCGCAAGCCUGAUGCAGCGACGCCGCGUGGGGGAUGACGGCCUUCGGGUUGUAAACUCCUUUCGCUAGGGACGAAGCUUUUUGUGACGGUACCUAGAUAAGAAGCACCGGCUAACUACGUG